AAGGAAGAAAAAAGCAAAGAACACUACAUGUGGUGUACGAAUAAGCUAAGUUUUGUCUCUUACUGAAACCAUCAGCAUCAAGUGGAAUCCUCCCACUACAAGAGGCAUAAAACUUAAUACAGAUGGCUCAGCCAUAUAGCCAACCCAUGACCGGGGGGUUGGGAGGUGUGUUCCGAAAUAACAACGGGGAAUGGCUUCUAGGUUUUUACCACCAUAUUCCCCAUACUACCCCACCGUAUCAUGGCUGAACUCUUUGCCCUUAGAUGUGGCCUGAUUGUGGCCAAAGAACAAAACAUUAAAUCCUUUGAUGUUGAGAUGGACUCAGCUAUGGCUAUCAAUAUCUUAGCUAAUGAUCACCCCCUUUAUCAUAACAUUGUAUCUGAGUGCAGGACAUUACUGAAGGAGUUAGGAACAACAGCUUCAAUGCAAAUUUUCAAGGAGCAGAAUGCAAUAGUUGAUUGUUUAGUAAAGGAAGGAACCAGGACGGAGUUUUUGGGAAGAACUACCAUUAUCACGCAUGUACCCCUUUUGCUGUCAAUUUAGUUAGGAACAAUUGCUUAGGCAAGACUUUUAAUCGCAUCGUGAAACAUUCGAACAUUAACCUACUGGGUUGGGAUGUGGCCUUGAACAAUCCCUUUUUGGCUCCUACUUGUGAUAGGAGCACUAACCCACCCCUCCCCCUUAAUGAUCAACGACAUCAUUAUCUUUUUCACCAAAAAAAAAUAAAAAUUGAUAGACGAGGGAGAAAUAUCACAAAACUAUAGUUGUAUGUAUUAUUUUAUUAUAUUUUUUUAAUUUAUAUAUUGAUGUAAGAUGACUAAAAUACAUAUAAUUAUAAUUUCAUGCACUAUUACACAUGUACUAGACAUCACAUUAGAAACAAACAAACAAAAAAUCAAUUUUCUUUUUAAUGGUGGCAAAAGGUUCAACUUUCCCACCACAUUGCUUCUCCCAUUUUCCAUUUCCAUCAAAUAAUGUCUCUCAAAUUCUUCAAAUCUCUCUUUGAUUCUUUCCCAUGGCCCCUUCAAGAACUCAACAUUGAGCAAAAGGGUGUCUUGUUUUCCUAUUUUCUUGGUCUUUUGGCUUUACUAUACUUCCUUUGGCUUCUCAUCAACAAGUCAAAAAAUGGACAACAACUACCAUUGCCACCAGGACCUAAACCUUUGCCUUUGAUAGGUAAUCUCCAUUCUCUUGAUCCUGAACUCCACAUAUAUUUUCCAUCUCUAUCCAAAACUUAUGGCCCCAUUUGUACACUUUGGCUUGGUAAAAAAGUUGGGAUUGUUAUUACAUCCCCUGCAUUAGCUCGCGAGGUACUUAAGGAUCAAGAUACCAUAUUUGCUAAUAGAGAUGUACCUGCUGCUGGUAGAGAAGCUACAUAUGGUGGCAAAGACAUAGUUUGGACUCCUUAUGGACCUAAAGGGCGCAUGUUGAGGAAGAUUUGUGUUCGGGAUAUGCUUAGUGCUUCUAUCUUGGAUUCUGUUUAUGCACUACGGAGAAGGGAGCUUAGACAAACGAUCAAUUACUUUUAUAAUCAAGUAGGAUCGCCUGUGAAUAUUGGUGAACAGAUGUUCUUGACCAUGCUUAAUGUGAUUACAAACAUGUUAUGGGGUGGCACAAUAAAGGGUGAGGAAAGAGCUAGUCUUGGAGCUGAGUUUAGGCAUGCUGUGUCUGAUUUGACUGGGCUGUUGGGUACUCCAAAUGUUUCUGAUUUUUACCCAGGCUUGUCCUGGUUUUAUUUGCAGGGUGUUACUAAGAAGAUGAAGGUGUUGGUAAAGAGCUUUGAUAACAUAUUUGAGAGCAUGAUUGAGCAAAGACAAAAAUUGGAUAGAAAUGGUGUUGGCCAAGAAAGCAAGGACUUUUUGCAAGUUUUGCUGAAGUUGAAAGAUGAAGCAGAUGCCAAAAUGCCCCUGUCUAUGACUGAACUCAAAGCACUACUUAUGGAUAUGGUUACAGGUGGAACUGACACAACCUCCAACGCGGUUGAGUUUGCCAUGGCUGAAAUUACGAACAAACCAGACGUCAUGAGGAAAUUACAACAAGAGCUAGAGACAGUUGUGGGAAAAGAUAAUAUUGUGGAAGAGUCUCAUAUUCAGCAAUUACCAUAUCUCUAUGCAGUUAUGAAAGAAGUCUUGCGCAUACACCCAACUCUUCCACUCUUGGUGCCGCAUUGUCCUAGUGAGACAUGCGCUGUGGGAGGAUACACUGUUCCUAAAGGAUCUCGUGUUUUCAUAAAUGUAUGGGCUAUACAGAGAGAUCCUUCUAUCUGGAAAAAUCCAACUGAGUUCCAUCCGGAGAGAUUCUUGGACGGUAAAUGGGACUAUAGUGGAAAUGAUUUCAGUUACUUUCCGUUUGGUUCUGGCAGAAGAAUCUGCGCGGGAAUAGCCAUGGCAGAGAGGAUGUUCAUGUAUUCACUAGCUUCGCUCAUUCAUUCUUUCGACUGGAAGUUGCCUGAAGGAGAGACAUUAGAUCUUACGGAGAAGUUUGGUAUUGUUUUGAAGAAGAAAGUGCCUCUAGUGGCUCUACCUGUUCCGAGAUUAUCUAAUCCAACACUCUAUGAGUAAGAUAAAGAUGCGUCUCUAUCCUGGCAAUGGUCUUAUGAACAACUCAAAGUUCCAUGUGAAAUGGAUAUGGUUGUCGCUGGAACUGACACAACCUCCAACACUGUUGAGUUUGCCAUGGCUGAAAUUAUGAACAAACCAGACGUGCUGAGGAAAUUACAGCAAGAACUAGAGAUAGUUGUGGGAAAAG